UGGGGAAUUUUGGACAAUGGGCGCAAGCCUGAUCCAGCCAUUCCGCGUGAGUGAAGAAGGCCUUCGGGUUGUAAAGCUCUUUCGCAAGGGAAGAAAACUUACAUUCUAAUAAAGUGUGAGGCUGACGGUACCUUGAUAAGAAGCACCGGCUAACUACGUGCCAGCAGCCGCGGUAAUACGUAGGGUGCGAGCGUUAAUCGGAAUUACUGGGCGUAAAGCGUGCGCAGGCGGUUUUGUAAGUCAGAUGUGAAAUCCCCGAGCUCAACUUGGGAACUGCGUUUGAAACUACAAGACUAGAAUAUGUCAGAGGGGGGUAGAAUUCCACGUGUAGCAGUGAAAUGCGUAGAGAUGUGGAGGAAUACCAAUGGCGAAGGCAGCCCCCUGGGAUAAUAUUGACGCUCAUGCACGAAAGCGUGGGGAGCAAACAGAAUUAGAUACCCUGGUAGUCCACGCCCUAAACGAUGUCUACUAGUUGUUGGUGGAGUAAAAUCCAUGAGUAACGCAGCUAACGCGUGAAGUAGACCGCCUGGGGAGUACGGUCGCAAGAUUA
rnacentral:rRNA from 1 species